ACUGCUCAGUAACACGUGGACAACCUACCCUUAGGCCUGGGAUAACCCCGGGAAACUGGGAAUAAUACCGGAUAUCUCGCGAAAGCUGGAAUGCGUCGCGAUAGAAAGCUCCGGCGCCUAAGGAUGGGUCUGCGGCCUAUCAGGGUAGUAGUGGGUGUAACGUACCUACUAGCCUACGACGGGUACGGGUUGUGAGAGCAAGAGCCCGGAGAUGGAUUCUGAGACACGAAUCCAGGCCCUACGGGGUGCAGCAGGCGCGAAAACUUUACAAUGCUGGCAACAGCGAUAAGGGGACCUCGAGUGCCAGGAUACAAUCCUGGCUGUCGUAAUGCCUAAAAAGCAUUGCAUAGCAAGGGCCGGGCAAGACCGGUGCCAGCCGCCGCGGUAACACCGGCGGCUCGAGUGGUAACCGUUAUUAUUGGGUCUAAAGGGUCUGUAGCCGGCUGGAUAAGUCUCUUGGGAAAUCUGGCAGCUCAACUGUCAGGCUUUCAGGAGAUACUGUCCGGCUCGAGACCGGGAGAGGUGAGAGGUACCUCAGGGGUAGGGGUGAAAUCUUGUAAUCCUUGAGGGACCACCAGUGGCGAAGGCGUCUCACCAGAACGGAUCUGACGGCAAGGGACGAAAGCUAGGGGCACGAACCGAAUUAGAUACCCGGGUAGUCCUAGCCGUAAACGAUACUCGCUAGGUGUCGGCCACGGUGCGACCGUGGUCGGUGCCGUAGGGAAGCCGUGAAGCGAGCCACCUGGGAAGUACGGCCGCAAGGCUGAAACUUAAAGGAAUUGGCGGGGGAGCAC
rnacentral:rRNA from 1 species